GACGAACGCUGGCGGCGUGCUUAACACAUGCAAGUCGAACGGAAAGGCCCUGCUUGCAGGGUACUCGAGUGGCGAACGGGUGAGUAACACGUGGGUGAUCUGCCCUGCACUUCGGGAUAAGCCUGGGAAACUGGGUCUAAUACCGGAUAGGAGCCAUUUUUAGUGUGAUGGUUGGAAAGUUUUUUCGGUGUAGGAUGAGCUCGCGGCCUAUCAGCUUGUUGGUGGGGUAAUGGCCUACCAAGGCGGCGACGGGUAGCCGGCCUGAGAGGGUGGACGGCCAUGGUGGGACAUAGACCCGGCCCAGACUCCGACGGGGGGCGGGAGGGGGGAAGAGGGCACACGGGGCGCGAGCCGUAUGCGGGGCGCCCGGGGGGGGGAUGUCGGCCUGCGGGUUGAAAGCCCCUUCCGCGAGGGACAAAGUUUUUUGGGACGGUCCCUAAAAAAGAGCCCCCGGCAAAUUCCGGC
rnacentral:rRNA from 1 species